ACAAUAGUUUUAUGGAUAUUUUUGCCUUAUAAGAAAGUAAGAUUCUUGAGUAGUCUACCCCCCUUCGAAUGCGGAAACGGCUGCUAAUACUCGGUAGGCUGAGGAGCAAAAGGAGGAAUCCGCCCGAGGAGGGGCUCGCGUCUGAUUAGCUAGUUGGUGAGGCAAUAACUUACCAAGGCGAUGAUCAGUAGCUGGUCCGAGAGGAUGAUCAGCCACACUGGGACUGAGACACGACCCAGACUCCACGGGAGGCAGCAGUGGGAAAUUUUCCGCAAUGGGCGAAAGCCUGACAGAGCAAUGCCGCGUGAAGGUAGAAGGCCUACGAGUCUAUCAAUUUGUAUUGAAGAUAAGUUACAUCAUUACCAUUACAAUCUACUAUUAUGUGAAACACAUUUUUCUUGAAUGUGUAAGUUGCAACUAAAUGAUCAAAAUAAUAACCAUGUAAUAAUUAU
rnacentral:ncRNA from 1 species